rnacentral:rRNA from 1 species
UGGAGAGUUUGAUCCUGGCUCAGAUUGAACGCUGGCGGCAGGCUUAACACAUGCAAGUCGAGCGGAGAGAGGUAGCUUGCUACUGAUCUUAGCGGCGGACGGGUGAGUAAUGCUUAGGAAUCUAGCCUAUUAGUAGGGGGACAACAUUUCGAAAGAGAAUGCUAAUACCGCAUACGUCCUACGGGAGAAAGCAGGGGAUCUUCGGACCUUGCGCUAAUAGAUGAGCCUAAGUUCGGAUUAGCUAGUUGGUGAGGGUAAAGGCCUACCAAGGCGACGAUCUGUAGCGGGUCUGAGAGGAUGAUCCGCCACACUGGGACUGAGACACGGCCCAGACUCCUACGGGAGGCAGCAGUGGGGAAUAUUGGACAAUGGGCGCAAGCCUGAUCCAGCCAUGCCGCGUGUGUGAAGAAGGCCUUAUGGUUGUAAAGCACUUUAAGCGAGGAGGAGGCUACUUUAGUUAAUACCUAGAGAUAGUGGACGUUACUCGCAGAAUAAGCACCGGCUAACUCUGUGCCAGCAGCCGCGGUA